rnacentral:rRNA from 1 species
GACGAACGCUGGCGGCGUGCCUAAUACAUGCAAGUCGAACGCUUCUUUCCUCCCGAGUGCUUGCACUCAAUUGGAAAGAGGAGUGGCGGACGGGUGAGGAACACGUGGGUAACCUACCCAUCAGAGGGGGAUAACACUUGGAAACAGGUGCUAAUACCGCAUAACAGUUUAUGCCGCAUGGCAUAAGAGUGAAAGGCGCUUUCGGGUGUCGCUGAUGGAUGGACCCGCGGUGCAUUAGCUAGUUGGUGAGGUAACGGCUCACCAAGGCCACGAUGCAUAGCCGACCUGAGAGGGUGAUCGGCCACACUGGGACUGAGACACGGCCCAGACUCCUACGGGAGGCAGCUGUAGGGAAUCUUCGGCAAUGGACGAAAGUCUGACCGAGCAACGCCGCGUGAGUGAAGAAGGUUUUCGGAUCGUAAAACUCUGUUGUUAGAGAAGAACAAGGACGUUAGUAACUGAACGUCCCCUGACGGUAUCUAACCAGAAAGCCACGGCUAACUACGUG